rnacentral:tRNA from 1 species
GGCUCGUUGGUUUAGGUGUAUGAUUCUCGCUUUGGGUGCGAGAGGUCCUGGGUUCAAAUCCCGGAUGAGCCC